rnacentral:rRNA from 1 species
AUCAACUUUCGAUGGUAGGAUAGAGGCCUACCAUGGUAUCAACGGGUAACGGGGAAUCAGGGUUCGAUUCCGGAGAGGGAGCCUGAGAAACGGCUACCACAUCCAAGGAUGGCAGCAGGCGCGCAAAUUACCCAAUCCCGACACGGGGAGGUAGUGACAAUAAAUAACAAUACGGGGUUCUUUAGGAUCUCGUAAUUGGAAUGAGUACAAUUUAAAUCUCUUAACGAGGAACAAUUGGAGGGCAAGUCUGGUGCCAGCAGCCGCGGUAAUUCCAGCUCCAAUAGCGUAUAUUAAAGUUGUUGCAGUUAAAAAGCUCGUAGUUGAAUUUCGGGGUCAGUAGGUUGGUCGUGCCACCGGUACGUACUGGUCUCACUGAUUCCUCCUUCCUGAUGAGCUGUAAUGCCAUUAAUUUGGUGUUGCAGGGAAUCUGGACUGUUACUUUGAAAAAAUUAGAGUGUUUAAAGCAGGCUAACGCUUGAAUACAUUAGCAUGGAAUAAUGAAAUAGGACGUUCGAUCCUAUUUUGUUGGUUUCUAGGAUUGACGUAAUGAUUAAUAGGGAAUAGUUGGGGGCAUUAGUAUUCAAUUGUCAGAGGUGAAAUUCUUGGAUUUAUUGAAGACUAACUACUGCGAAAGCAUUUGCCAAGGAUGUUUUCAUUAAUCAAGAACGAAAGUUAGGGGAUCGAAGACGAUCAGAUACCGUCGUAGUCUUAACCAUAAACUAUGCCGACUAGGGAUCGGAUGAUGUUAAUUUUUUAAUGACUCAUUCGGCGCCUUACGGGAAACCAAAGUGUUUGGGUUC